UCACAGCUAACAGAGCGCCGAACGCAGCAGCCAGCAGCUCUCAGACAGGAGACGCCUUAGGGAAAGCACUCGCAUCUAUCUACUCUCCGGACCACACGAACAACAGCUACUCGUCCAAUCCCUCCACACCAGUCGGCUCCCCGCCCUCCCUCACAGCUGCCAGUUCAGCUGUAUGGUCGAGGAAUGGCGGACAGGGAGCAUCAUCGCCAAACUACGAGGCUGCUCCACUACACUCCCUG